rnacentral:rRNA from 1 species
GAUGAACGCUGCGGCGUGCCUAAUACCUGCAAGUCGAGCGAACAGAUGAGGAGCUUGCUCCUCUGACGUUAGCGGCGGACGGGUGAGUAACACGUUGAUAACCUACCUAUAAGACUGGGAUAACUUCGGGAAACCGGAGCUAAUACCGGAUAAUAUAUUUAACCGCUUGGUUCAAUAGUGAAAGACGGUUUUGCUGUCACUUAUAGAUGGAUCCGCGCCGCAUUAGCUAGUUGGUAAGGUAACGGCUUACCAAGGCAACGAUGCGUAGCCGACCUGAGAGGGUGAUCGGCCACACGGGAACUGAGACACGGUCCAGACGCCUACGGGAGGCAGCAGUAGGGAAUCUUCCGCAAUGGGCGAAAGCUUGACGGAGCAACGCCGCGUGAGUGAUGAAGGUCUUCGGAUCGUAAAACUCUGUUAUUAGGGAAGAACAAAUGUGUAAGUAACUAUGCACGUCUUGACGGUACCUAAUCAGAAAGCCACGGCUAACUACGUG